GCCAGCAUAGCAUGAUGGUUUGAGUAUUGGACUAGGUCUCCAGGAGCCAGGGUUCAAAUCCCUGCCCAGCCA